rnacentral:rRNA from 1 species
GAUGAACGCUGGCGGUAUGCUUAACACAUGCAAGUCGAACGGACUCUUCGGAGUUAGUGGCGGACGGGUGAGUAACGCGUGAGAAUCUGGCUUUGGGUUCGGGACAACCACUGGAAACGGUGGCUAAUACCGGAUGUGCCGAGAGGGAAAAGAGAAAUUGCCUGAAGAUGAGCUCGCGUCUGAUUAGCUAGUUGGUGAGGUAAAGGCUCACCAAGGCAGCGAUCAGUAGCUGGUCUGAGAGGAUGACCAGCCACACUGGGACUGAGACACGGCCCAGACUCCUACGGGAGGCAGCAGUGGGGAAUUGUCCGAAAUGGGCGAAAGCCUGACGGAGCAAUACCGCGUGAGGGAAGAAGGCUCUUGGGUUGUAAACCUCUUUUCUUAGGGAAGAACAAAAUGACGGUACCUAAGGAAUCAGCAUCGGCUAACUCCGUG